AGAAAUCUCACCAGGCCCGGACACUGGAAGGAUUGACAGAUUGAUAGCUCUUCCUUGAUUCGGUGGGUGGUGGAGCAUGGCCGUUCUUAGUUGGUUGAGUGAUUUGUCUUGUUAAUUCCGUUAACGAACGAGACCUUAACCUGCUAAAUAGUGACGCGGUUCAUCGAACCGUGGGCCACUUCUUAGAGGGACUAUCGGAUUCAAACCGAUGGAAGUGUGAGGCAAUAA
rnacentral:rRNA from 1 species